rnacentral:rRNA from 1 species
GACGAACGCUGGCGGCGUGCUUAACACAUGCAAGUCGAGCGGUAAGGCCCUUUCGGGGUACACGAGCGGCGAACGGGUGAGUAACACGUGGGUGACCUGCCCUUAGCUCUGGGAUAAGCCUGGGAAACUGGGUCUAAUACCGGAUAUGACUCCAUGACGCAUGUUGUGGGGUGGAAAGCCUUUGUGCGGCUAGGGAUGGGCCCGCGGCCUAUCAGCUUGUUGGUGGGGUGAUGGGCCACCAAGGCGACGACGGGUAGCCGGCCUGAGAGGGCGACCGGCCACACUGGGACUGAGACACGGCCCAGACUCCUACGGGAGGCAGCAGUGGGGAAUCUUGCGCAAUGGGCGAAAGCCUGACGCAGCGACGCCGCGUGAGGGAUGACGGCC